GGGGUUAUAUGGUCAAGCGAUGAAGCGCGCACGGUGGAUGCCUAGGCAGCCAGAGGCGAUGAAGGACGUGACAGCCUGCGAUAAGGCUCGGUGAGGUGGCAAAUAACCUGCGACCCGGGCAUUUCCGAAUGGGGUAACCCACUCACCGUCAGGUGAGUAUCCAUGAGCCAAUACAUAACUCAUGGAAGCAAACCGGGAGAACUGAAACAUCUAAGUAUCCCGAGGAACAGAAAUCAACCGAGAUUCCCCAAGUAGUGGCGAGCGAACGGGGAGCAGCCCUUAAGCAUGUGACUGGCUAGACAAAGUGUCUGGAAAGGCACGCCAUAGCGGGUGACAGCCCCGUAGUCGAAAGCCUGAUCAUGUGAAAUCGAGUAGGUCGGGGCACGUGAAACCCUGACUGAAGACGGGGGGACCAUCCUCCAAGGCUAAAUACUCCUGGCUGACCGAUAGUGAACCAGUACCGUGAGGGAAAGGCGAAAAGAACCCCGGUGAGGGGAGUGAAACAGAUCCUGAAACCGUGUGCGUACAAGCAGUGGGAGCACUCUCGAAGUGUGACCGCGUACCUUUUGUAUAAUGGGUCAGCGACUUGUUGUCGGUAGCGAGCUUAACCGCAUAGGGGAGGCGCAGGGAAACCGAGUCUUAACAGGGCGCGCAGUUGCCGGCAACAGACCCGAAACCGGGCGAUCUAUCCAUGGCCAGGGUGAAGGUCAGGUAACACUGACUGGAGGCCCGAACCGGGGUUCGUUGAAAAGAACUCGGAUGAGCUGUGGAUCGGAGUGAAAGGCUAAUCAAGCCCGGAGAUAGCUGGUUCUCCUCGAAAGCUAUUUGGGUAGCGCCUCACGUAUUACCACCGGGGGUAGAGCACUGUUUCGGCUAGGGGCCCAUCCCGGGUUACCAAACCGAGGCAAACUCCGAAUACCGGUGAGUACAGCGUGGGAGACAGACAGCGGGUGCUAACGUCCGUUGUCAAGAGGGAAACAACCCGGACCGCCAGCCAAGGUCCCCAAAUCCCGGUUGAGUGGGAAACGAUGUGGGAAGGCUCAGACAGCCAGGAGGUUGGCUUAGAAGCAGCCAUCCUUUAAAGAAAUGCGUAAUAGSUCACUGGUCGAGUCGGCCUGCGCGGAAGAUGUAACGGGGCUAAACCGGGURCCGAAGCUGCGGGCGUGUCCUUCGGACACGCGGUAGAGGAGCGUUGUGUACGUCUGCGAAGGUGUGUCGUGAGGCAUGCUGGAGAUAUCACAAGUGCGAAUGCUGACAUGAGUAACGAUAAGGGGAGUGAAAACCUCCCCCGCCGGAAGACCAAGGGUUCCUGUUCGACGUCAAUCGGAGCAGGGUGAGUCGGCCCCUAAGGCGAGGCCGAAAGGCGUAGUCGAUGGGAAACGGGUCAAUAUUCCCGUACCGGAUGUCAUUGCGAUGGGGGGACGAAGAAGGCCAGGUGAGCCGGGCGUCGGUUGCCCCGGUGAAAGCAUGUAGGCCGAGCGAUCAGGCAAAUCCGAUCGCUCAUCGGUCGAGAUGCGAGACGAACAUCCCACGGGAUGGAAGUCACUGAUGCCACGCUUCCGGGAAAAGCCUCUAAGCUUCAGAUGACAUGCGACCGUACCCCAAACCGACACAGGUGGUCAGGUAGAGAAUACCGAGGCGCUUGAGAGAACCCGGGUGAAGGAACUAGGCAAAAUGGCACCGUAACUUCGGGAGAAGGUGCGCCGGUGACCGUGACAGCCCUCGCGGCUCGAGCGGGCACCGGCCGAAGAGACCAGGUGGCUGCAACUGUUUACUAAAAACACAGCACUCUGCCAACGCGCAAGCGGACGUAUAGGGUGUGACGCCUGCCCGGUGCCGGAAGGUUAAGUGAUGGUGUCAGCCCCUUCGGGGGUGAAGCUCCUGAUCGAAGCCCCGGUAAACGGCGGCCGUAACUAUAACGGUCCUAAGGUAGCGAAAUUCCUUGUCGGGUAAGUUCCGACCUGCACGAAUGGCGUAAUGAUGGCCACGCUGUCUCCACCCGGGACUCAGUGAAAUUGAAAUCGCAGUGAAGAUGCUGUGUACCCGCGGCCAGACGGAAAGACCCCGUGAACCUUUACUACAGCUUCACACUGGACGCUGAUGUUGCUUGUGUAGGAUAGCUGGGAGGCCGGGAACUCGUGGCGCCAGCCGCGAGGGAGCCACCCUUGAAAUACCAGCCUUGCAUCAUCGGCGUUCUAACUCCGCACCGUGAGCCGGUGCGAGGACAGUGUGUGGUGGGUAGUUUGACUGGGGCGGUCUCCUCCCAAAUCGUAACGGAGGAGCACGAAGGUACCCUCAGCGCGGUUGGAAAUCGCGCAGUGAGUGCAAGAGCACAAGGGUGCUUGACUGCGAGACGGACAUGUCGAGCAGGUGCGAAAGCAGGUUCUAGUGAUCCGGUGGUUCUGCAUGGAAGGGCCAUCGCUCAACGGAUAAAAGGUACUCCGGGGAUAACAGGCUGAUACCGCCCAAGAGUUCACAUCGACGGCGGUGUUUGGCACCUCGAUGUCGGCUCAUCACAUCCUGGGGCUGAAGUCGGUCCCAAGGGUAUGGCUGUUCGCCAUUUAAAGUGGUACGCGAGCUGGGUUUAGAACGUCGUGAGACAGUUCGGUCCCUAUCUGCCGUGGGCGUCGGAAGUUUUGWGAAGUGUCUAAGCUCCUAGUACGAGAGGACCGGAGUGGACGGACCUCUGGUGUACCGGUUGUCACGCCCGUGGCAUCGCCGGGUAGCCAGGUCCGGACGGGAUAACCGCUGAAGGCAUCUAAGCGGGAAGCCCCCUUCAAGAUGAGACUUCCCCGGGGCCUUGCGCCCCCUGAAGGGCCCUCGAAGACGACGAGGUCGAUAGGCGCGGUGUGUAAGUGCGGCAACGCAUUGAGCUGACGCGUACUAAUUGCCCGUGAGGCUUGACCAUAUAACGCCCAA
rnacentral:rRNA from 1 species